GUAAGUGUCGGGUAGGGAUGAAGAGGAGAGUUGGAACAGAAAUUUUAGAGGAGUCGGCAAGGAGGAGGUUAGGUGGGAGAGGGUCGGCUGCAGGAAGAUGAGGAGUUGCUUACGGCAAGAAGAGCCUAGGGCUUCGGCUAGAUUAGAGAGGAAGGUCGGAGGAGUUGUAGCUUCGGCAGUGCUUCGUCUUGCAGACAGAGGAAGAUGAGGUUCGGCGUCGGCUUGAGGAGAUGGAAGGCUUUGACGGGAGGAAGGGAUGGAGGCUUCGAUUUAGAGCAGAGAAGGGAGGUCGCAGGUCUGGGAGUUCUGCGUGGGUAAGGAGAAAACGAAGCCUUGUUCUUCGUUUUAUCAACGCGAAUGGGUGCAAUUGAGGGCGAAAUUUCUGGGAAGAGAUGCAAGCGGCGCUGUGUGAACAAAUUCGGAGGGAUUAACGCACGAUUUGGUACAGGUCAUUCAUCUGACGCUUGGUUCCUCUUCAUGAUUCGCUUACUUUGCCAAUAAAUUUUACAUUGUAAUCAUCUGCAAAUAUUCAAAUAAAGUUGAGCAAGUUUUAUUGAA